rnacentral:lncRNA from 1 species
AUUGGGCAAAAGAUCUUAAAUGAACAAGUUUUCAUACUUAUUAUUGAAGAGAGGUUAGAUUUCCAUUCGUAUUUUCCUUGAAUAUCAUUUGUGGUACUUCUUGAAUUAACUUAAGAAAGAUUCCACCUACAUUUAAUUAGAAAACUAUCUGUGGUAUCAAAUUAGAAAUCUUCUUGAAAUCACAUUCGAUGUGUUUUGCUCUAAAAUUAUCUUAAUUGGCUCUGAUCUAUACUCAUUAAUCUGAUUCUAAUAUUAUUGCCUUGAGUUAUAUAAUUCAUAUAUGAUUCAUAUAUGAUUAAUCUUAUUUGAGUAUUCUGAUCUUUGUGCUUAAUGUUUCACUACCUUUUUGAUGUUGUCAAAAAGGGGGAGAAAUAUCUAAGUAUAUGCUCAUAAUGCUUUAUGUUUUAUAUGCUCAUAAUGCUUUAUGUUUUGAAUUGAAUACAAAUCAGCUUAAAUUGAAAUAUGUUGAUUGUGUUAAGCUGAUUAAAUCUAAAGCAUUAUCAUGAAG